rnacentral:rRNA from 1 species
ACGUGAAACCUUGUCUGAACGUGGGGGGACCACCCUCCAAGCCUAAGUACUCCUCGAUGACCGAUAGUGAACCAGUACCGUGAGGGAAAGGUGAAAAGCACCCCGAUGAGGGGAGUGAAAUAGACCUGAAACCGGAUGCCUACAAGCAGUCGGAGCCUCCUCGUCUUCGGACGUGAGGGGUGACGGCGUACCUUUUGUAUAAUGGGUCAGCGAGUUAGUCUGUCGAGCAAGCUUAAGCCGUUAGGUGUAGGCGCAGCGAAAGCGAG